rfam:Oryza rufipogon genomic scaffold, chr07
UUUAACUGUAGCUGUGGAUUUCUCUGUCCAAUAUUUAACCAUUUGUCUUAUUUAUAAUUUUUUGUGAUUAGUAUUUUUAUUGUUAUUAGAUGAUAAAACAUAAAUAGUAUUUUAUGCGUAACUUAUUUUUUAAAAUUAUUUUCAUAAUUUUUUUAAAUAAGACAGAUUGUCAAACGCUAAAUAGAGAAACCCAUCACGAUUGUACUCAAA